AUACGGAGGAUCCAAGCGUUAUCCGGAUUUAUUGGGUUUAAAGGGUGCGCAGGCGGCCUUAUAAGUUAGUGGUGAAAUCUCCCGGCUCAACCGGGAAACUGCCAUUGAUACUGUAAGGCUAGAAUACAGACGAGGUAGGCGGAAUGUAGCAUGUAGCGGUGAAAUGCUUAGAUAUGCUACAGAACACCGAUCGCGAAGGCAGCUUACCAGACUGUAAUUGACGCUAAGGCACGAAAGCGUGGGGAGCGAACAGGAUUAGAAACCCCAGUAGUCC
rnacentral:rRNA from 1 species